UAAUAGUGUAUAUUAAAGUUGUUGCAGUUAAAAAGCUCGUAGUUGAAUGUUGGUGUCGAACGAGCGGUCAGCUUCGGCUGUACUGCUCUCUCGACUCCUUCCUUCUGUGGACUACGUUGCACUUUACUGUGUGGCGCUAGGACGCAGAUCGUUUACUGUGAAAAAAUUAGAGUGUUCAAAGCAGGCUAGCGCUUGAAUACAUUAGCAUGGAAUAAUGGAAUAGGACUUUGGUGCUAUUUUGUUGGUUUAUGGGACCGAAGUAAUGAUUAACAGGGACAGUUGGGGCCGUUUAUAUUUCGUUGUCAGAGGUGAAAUUCUUGGAUUUACGAAAGAUAAACUUCUGCGAAAGCAUUCGGCAAGGAUGUUUUCAUUG
rnacentral:rRNA from 1 species